UACGUAGGGUGCGAGCGUUGUCCGGAAUUACUGGGCGUAAAGCGUGCGCAGGCGGUUUUGCAAGCCGGAUGUGAAAUCCCCGGGCUCAACCUGGGAAUGGCAUUUGGGACUGCAAGGCUCGAGUGCGGCAGAGGAGACUGGAAUUCCUGGUGUAGCAGUGAAAUGCGUAGAUAUCAGGAGGAAUACCGAUGGCGAAGGCAGGUCUCUGGGCUGACACUGACGCUCAUGCACGAAAGCGUGGGGAGCAAACAGG
rnacentral:rRNA from 1 species